rnacentral:rRNA from 1 species
GACGAACGCUGGCGGCGUGCUUAACACAUGCAAGUCGAACGGAAAGGCCCCUUUGGGGGUACUCGAGUGGCGAACGGGUGAGUAACACGUGAGUAACCUGCCCUUGACUUCGGGAUAACUUCAGGAAACUGGGGCUAAUACCGGAUAGGAAUCCUUGCUGCAUGGUGGGGGUUGGAAAGCUUCGGCGGUUUUGGAUGGACUCGCGGCUUAUCAGCUUGUUGGUGGGGUAGUGGCUUACCAAGGCUUUGACGGGUAGCCGGCCUGAGAGGGCGACCGGCCACAUUGGGACUGAGAUGCGGCCCAGACUCCGACGGGAGGCAGCAGUGGGGAAUAUUGCACAAUGGGCGGAGGCCUGAUGCAGCAACGCCGCGGGCGGGAUGACGGCCUUCGGGUUGUAAACCGCUUUCAGCAGGGGCGAAGCUUGUGGUGACGGUACCUGCAGAAGAAGCACCGGCUAACUACGUG